rnacentral:pre_miRNA from 1 species
UCUGCUUUCAAAUGAUGUAUAGAUUCAUAAUUCCUCUAGCACCAUUUGAAAUCAGUUU